AGUGGCGAACGGGUGAGUAAUAUAUCGGAACGUAUCCAAUAAUGGGGGAUAACUAGUCGAAAGAUUAGCUAAUACCGCAUACGCCCUGAGGGGGAAAGCUGGGGAUCUUCGGACCUAGCGUUAAUGGAGCGGCCGAUAUCUGAUUAGCUAGUAGGUGAGGUAAAGGCUCACCUAGGCGACGAUCAGUAGCUGGUCUGAGAGGACGACCAGCCACACUGGAACUGAGACACGGUCCAGACUCCUACGGGAGGCAGCAGUGGGGAAUUUUGGACAAUGGGGGCAACCCUGAUCCAGCCAUUCCGCGUGAGUGAAGAAGGCCUUCGGGUUGUAAAGCUCUUUCGCAAGGGAAGAAAACUUAGUCUCUAACAUAGACUGAGGUUGACGGUACCUUGAUAAGAAGCACCGGCUAACUACGUGCCAGCAGCCGCGGUAAUACGUAGGGUGCGAGCGUUAAUCGGAAUUACUGGGCGUAAAGCGUGCGCAGGCGGCCUGAUAAGUCAGAUGUGAAAUCCCCGAGCUCAACUUGGGAACUGCGUUUGAAACUAUCAAGCUAGAAUAUGUCAGAGGGGGGUAGAAUUCCACGUGUAGCAGUGAAAUGCGUAGAGAUGUGGAGGAAUACCAAUGGCGAAGGCAGCCCCCUGGGAUAAUAUUGACGCUCAUGCACGAAAGCGUGGGGAGCAAACAGGAUUAGAUACCCUGG
rnacentral:rRNA from 1 species